rnacentral:lncRNA from 10 species
AGACAUAAAGAGAUAAUAUAUCCAAAAAUUCUCAAGGAAAAGGAAGAGAUCAAAUGUUAAGAUGAGAACUUCAUGUUUUAGAGGGUGCUGCUUCUGAAGAACUGUUGUAGGAAACUACAAGUUGUGCACUGGCUUAUUCAGAAAUGUGCUGACAGUGGAAACCUGCAGAGAAGGAAACCUGACUGUGAUAUAAUGAAAAUGGCUACAUCGCAAGAUAAAAGCAACCUAGAUUCCUGAAUUACUGCUUGGGAAAGAACCUUUAAAUCAGGA